rnacentral:rRNA from 1 species
UACGUAGGGGGCUAGCGUUGUCCGGAAUCAUUGGGCGUAAAGAGCUCGUAGGCGGCUUGUCGCGUCGACUGUGAAAACCCGUGGCUCAACCAUGUGGUCUGCAGUCGAUACGGGCAGGCUAGAAUUCGGUAGGGGAGACUGGAAUUCCUGGUGUAGCGGUGAAAUGCGCAGAUAUCAGGAGGAACACCGGUGGCGAAGGCGGGUCUCUGGGCCGAUAUUGACGCUGAGGAGCGAAAGCGUGGGGAGCGAACAGG